AGCUUCCACCCCAACUAACUCCACUGAUUUCAUAAAUGAGUUUGUAAGCUCAGCCGUAAGAAAAGAUGAAUACUUCUCACAUCAACCUGGAUAGAACCGGAGGGUAUUAUGGUGAAUGAAAUCAGUCAUUCAGAGAAAGACAAUUAUCAUCUGAGCACAGGGUCAUAGUCCACACAGAGUUAUGAAAAUAGCAACUCCCUGUCAAGCUCCUCGGGCACCGAGCCCCCACAGAACAGUCUCAACAUGCUCUCUCCUGGAGAAAGGUGCAUGGAUUGCUGCAGCCAAGUGGUCUACCAGGAGUUUCUCAGCUGCUGUUCCUGGACACACACCUAUCCUUCCCAAGUUGCCAUGGCCACAUGGUGUGGCACUGCUCGGCUGGCUCCAUUGAUGGCACAGAAAAAUUUGACAUGUUUACAAAACCCAGGAGGUCAGAUGUCGACUACGCAGUGCGGUCUAAACUCAGUGGAGCCCAAAGAAGGAACCUCAAGAAAGCUAAAUCUGGCAAAGAAAUCCUAUUUUGGACUAAUUUAAGGAUUUUAAAUCAAGUAUUACAAACUCAAAAGGUAGAAGUGUCUAAAGGGUUUUACUUGAUUUCUGCAUUGGGCUCUUUUUUGUUUUUUAAGGGUAAUGAUUUGUAAGAUAAAGAGAAAGUGAAGUGCCUUAACAAUCCUACAAAGCACACCUUAACUGAUCCUCAGAUCCUAUAUCAAGUAGUAGUUGCUUCAAAACCAAUCUCCCUGUUUGGAGAUCUGUUUUCUUAAAGGAAAAAAAAAAAAAUAUAUGGGGUGGGAGCAGGCAACUGAGAACCAGGAUGAUCAUGUCAGAACGAAACAUUCUGGAAAGCUGUCCAUGACAAGCCCCUUGCCUCUGCCCACACAAGCUACUCCUGAGCAGGAACUGAGAAAAACAACAACAACAAAAAACAAACAAACAAAAAAAAAACUUAUUUUUACUUUUCAUAACAUGCCUAUCCUCAGAGAAUGGAGUAAUUAGGUACCUAG
rnacentral:lncRNA from 1 species